rnacentral:rRNA from 1 species
CGGCGGACGGGUGAGUAAUGCCUAGGAAUCUGCCUGGUAGUGGGGGACAACGUUUCGAAAGGAACGCUAAUACCGCAUACGUCCUACGGGAGAAAGCAGGGGACCUUCGGGCCUUGCGCUAUCAGAUGAGCCUAGGUCGGAUUAGCUAGUUGGUGAGGUAAUGGCUCACCAAGGCGACGAUCCGUAACUGGUCUGAGAGGAUGAUCAGUCACACUGGAACUGAGACACGGUCAGACUCCUACGGGAGGCAGCAGC